GCUACAGGCUUAACACAUGCAAGUCGAGGGGCAGCAUGGUCUUAGCUUGCUAAGGCCGAUGGCGACCGGCGCACGGGUGAGUAACACGUAUCCAACCUGCCGUCUACUCUUGGACAGCCUUCUGAAAGGAAGAUUAAUACAAGAUGGCAUCAUGAGUCCGCAUGUUCACAUGAUUAAAGGUAUUCCGGUAGACGAUGGGGAUGCGUUCCAUUAGAUAGUAGGCGGGGUAACGGCCCACCUAGUCUUCGAUGGAUAGGGGUUCUGAGAGGAAGGUCCCCCACAUUGGAACUGAGACACGGUCCAAACUCCUACGGGAGGCAGCAGUGAGGAAUAUUGGUCAAUGGGCGAGAGCCUGAACCAGCCAAGUAGCGUGAAGGAUGACUGCCCUAUGGGUUGUAAACUUCUUUUAUAAAGGAAUAAAGUCGGGUAUGGAUACCCGUUUGCAUGUACUUUAUGAAUAAGGAUCGGCUAACUCCGUGCCAGCAGCCGCGGUAAUACGGAGGAUCCGAGCGUUAUCCGGAUUUAUUGGGUUUAAAGGGAGCGUAGAUGGAUGUUUAAGUCAGUUGUGAAAGUUUGCGGCUCAACCGUAAAAUUGCAGUCGAUACUGGAUAUCUUGAGUGCAGUUGAGGCAGGCGGAAUUCGUGGUGUAGCGGUGAAAUGCUUAGAUAUCACGAAGAACUCCGAUUGCGAAGGCAGCCUGCUAAGCUGCAACUGACAUUGAGGCUCGAAAGUGUGGGUAUCAAACAGGAUUAGAUACCCUGGUAGUCCACACGGUAAACGAUGAAUACUCGCUGUUUGCGAUAUACUGCAAGCGGCCAAGCGAAAGCGUUAAGUAUUCCACCUGGGGAGUACGCCGGCAACGGUGAAACUCAAAGGAAUUGACGGGGGCCCGCACAAGCGGAGGAACAUGUGGUUUAAUUCGAUGAUACGCGAGGAACCUUACCCGGGCUUAAAUUGCAGAUGAAUUACGGUGAAAGCCGUAAGCCGCAAGGCAUCUGUGAAGGUGCUGCAUGGUUGUCGUCAGCUCGUGCCGUGAGGUGUCGGCUUAAGUGCCAUAACGAGCGCAACCCUUGUUGUCAGUUACUAACAGGUUCCGCUGAGGACUCUGACAAGACUGCCAUCGUAAGAUGUGAGGAAGGUGGGGAUGACGUCAAAUCAGCACGGCCCUUACGUCCGGGGCUACACACGUGUUACAAUGGGGGGUACAGAGGGCCGCUACCACGCGAGUGGAUGCCAAUCCCCAAAACCUCUCUCAGUUCGGACUGGAGUCUGCAACCCGACUCCACGAAGCUGGAUUCGCUAGUAAUCGCGCACCAGCCACGGCGCGGUGAAUACGUUCCCGGGCCUUGUACACACCGCCCGUCAAGCCAUGGGAGCCGGGGGUACCUGAAGUGCGUAACCGCGAGGAGCGCCCUAGGGUAAAACUGGUGACUGGGGCUAAGUCAUAA
rnacentral:rRNA from 1 species